GUGGGGAAUCUUGCGCAAUGGGCGAAAGCCUGACGCAGCCAUGCCGCGUGAAUGAUGAAGGUCUUAGGAUUGUAAAAUUCUUUCACCGGGGACGAUAAUGACGGUACCCGGAGAAGAAGCUCCGGCUAACUUCGUGCCAGCAGCCGCGGUAAUACGAAGGGGGCUAGCGUUGCUCGGAAUUACUGGGCGUAAAGGGCGCGUAGGCGGACAGCUUAGUCAGAGGUGAAAGCCCAGGGCUCAACCUUGGAAUUGCCUUUGAUACUGGCUGUCUUGAGUUUGGGAGAGGUGAGUGGAACUCCGAGUGUAGAGGUGAAAUUCGUAGAUAUUCGGAAGAACACCAGUGGCGAAGGCGACUCACUGGCCCAAUACUGACGCUGAGGCGCGAAAGCGUGGGGAGCAAACAGGAUUAGAAACCCCGGUAGUCA
rnacentral:rRNA from 1 species